rnacentral:rRNA from 1 species
CAGUAGCCGCGGGAAAACGUAGGGUGCGAGCGUUAAUCGGAAUUACUGGGCGUAAAGCGUGCGCAGGCGGUUUUGUAAGACAGGCGUGAAAUCCCCGGGCUCAACCUGGGAAUGGCGCUUGUGACUGUAAAGCUAGAGUGCGGCAGAGGGGGAUGGAAUUCCGCGUGUAGCAGUGAAAUGCGUAGAUAUGCGGAGGAACACCGAUGGCGAAGGCAAUCCCCUGGGCCUGCACUGACGCUCAUGCACGAAAGCGUGGGGAGCAAACAGGAUUAGAUACCCCAGUAGUCCCUGUCUCUUAUAU